CGAGGUUGCCCUUUGUAUAUUC
rnacentral:miRNA from 1 species